UGCAAACGGAAAAUGCAUUCUACUAUUUUGAUCCUAAUUUUAAAGAUUCCUGAAAUUUAUUUUAGAUCUAAAAUUUCUUUCUGGUUUCCUCUUUGGAUGAGACACUGAUCAACUGAGGCCGAUGAAGCUCCGAAGCGCAGCAAAAAUGACGUUAGUGGUAACAAAACCCAUAUAUUUUCCCUCGCAAAAGCAUAUUUAUAUCUCGGCAUCAUUCAAUUUGUCGCCGUGCGUUCUUCCUUUCUUCUCUCCUCGGUCGGGCGGAAACCCUAACUAGCAGCGUAUUACUGAUGGCAAGCGGUACAAGGUAGAGCCAUGGUCGAACCAAAACCCGAACUCGCUCGGAGUCAUACCUACACUGCCGCGUCUGCGGCAGCGAUGCCCCAUCAGCGUUCUCCCAUACCGGAACCUCCUCUGCUGGCGACCCCAUCGUCGUCGGCUUCGGGCCUCGCGGUCAAGGACUCCCGUGUCCGUGCCUUUUACGAGAUUCUCUCGCGGGUGCCUCCGGCGGAGGUGGAGUCGGUCCUCUCCCGCUGCGGCAUCACCCCGCUCCCCGAGCACGUGGACGUUGUCCUCCGCCUCUGCUACGCUUUCCCGGCCGCUGCCGUCAAGUUUUUUCGCUGGUCCGGCCUCUCCCUGAAGCACACCCAUUACGCCUGGAACCUGAUGGUCGACAUUCUCGGCAAGAACCGCAUGUUCGAGCCCAUGUGGGACGCCAUCCGCUCCAUGAAGCAGGAAGGCGCUCUCUCCAUCGCCACCUUCGCCUCCGCCUUCGGCUCCUAUUGCGCCGCCGGCCUGAUCAAGGAGGCCGUCAUGACCUUCGACGUCAUGGACCGUUACGGCAUCCCUCAGGAUGUCGUUGUCGUCAACUCCCUCCUCAGCGCCAUCUGCCGUGAGGACGGCCGCAUGGCCGACGCCGCCGAUUUCUUCGACCGCGUCAAGGCCACCGUUGCCCCGGACGCCGACACCUUCGCCAUCCUCCUUGAGGGCUGGGAAAAAGAGGGCAACGUCACCCGCGCCAAAAAUACCUUCGGCGAGAUGGUGAUCCGCGUCGGCUGGAACGCCAAGAACAUGUCUGCCUACGACGCUUUCCUCAUCACCCUCGUCCGCGGCUCCCAGCCCGAUGAGGCCGUCAAGUUCCUCAAGGUGAUGAAGGGCAAAAACUGCCUGCCUGGGCUCAAGUUCUUCGGCAAUGCCCUCCACAUCCUCAUCCAGCAGAACGAUCACGUCCACGCCCUCGCUCUGUGGAACAUAAUGGUCACCGACAGUGGCCUCAUCCCCAGUCUCUCCAUGUGCAAUUCGAUGAUCACUCUUCUCUGCAACAAUGGCAACCUUGACGCUGCCUAUCGCUUACUCGAUGAAAUGCCAUACUAUGGGGUCUUCCCUGACCCCUUAACUUAUAACACCAUCUUUGAUUGUCUGAUUAGGAACAAGAGGGCCCGUGAAGCAGAGUCAUUCUUCACAGAGAUGCGGAAGAAUGAGCAGCUGCCGUCUCCCAAAAAUUGUGCAGCUGCCAUUAGAAUGUUCUUCGACCAGUACAACCCAUCUGCAGCUGUGGAGGUGUGGGGUUUUGUGACGGAGGUGUUUGUCUCACCGGACAACGAGUGUGCCAAUGAGCUACUCCUCGGGUUCCGAGAACUUGGGCGGUUGAGCGAGUUGAGAAGGUAUGCUGAUGAAAUGCUUGACAGGGGCGUAGAAUUGCGGGCAUCCACUGUGGAGAAGUUGAAGACUGCCUUUUACAAGGCUGGACGGCAGGAUGCUUAUGAUCGGAUUCUGAGGAGGUUAAAGCAGCAUUAGGAUAUCUAGAAUGGUGGUUGGACGGAACAGGGGAUUUCAUUUUGCUGCAAGACCCAUCAUAAGUUCGAUUGAGGGGCUUGGCUGCUUUAAUCAUUCCUGAAGCAUCAAGAGUGCAUUGUGGACCUCACUUAUGUAAUGCCCAGUGUAAGCAAGAUCAACUCUUUGGUAAUAUCUUCUCAAUCUUUUGUCAUUUCAAACGUCUCUUUUUUUAUAUUUAAGAGCUUUUACAUCACUCUGUUGGAUUAUGUAAUUCUUUUCGUUGAAACUCAGUUUGGUCUGAUUAAGGAUCGCAGUCAAUACUUGUAAUAUCACAGGUUUUUCUGUUUUUUGGGAUGAUUCGAUUAUGCGCACAAUGGGGUUGUUCACCUCUGCUUUGCACUGAAUCUUUUAUCUGGAUUUUGA